GAAACCGGUUGUAAGACAAUACAUACUUUAUAAGAAUAAAAAAAAUGAAUGAUGGUGUUUGUAUUAAAAUUGUCAUCACUUGCUGCUAUUUAACACAGGAUUCUUCUUCAUUUUCUAACUUUACUAUAACAACAAUGUAUUGAAAUGUUUUGUUCUACGAAAAGAUCUCAAAUUUAGAAUUGUCAGAAUAUCGGAACGUGUCAAGGUGAAAUUACAUUGCAGAAAUAAUGUAUUAUUAAAAAAAAGUUUUUUUAUCUGUAUUUAAAAUGUGAAAUCUGUUGGUAUACUUUAGUUAACGGCCCUACUAAGAAGGAUCGACAAUCGAAUGUUAAUUAGCUUCAAUAUUCCUAUAUUUAUAGUGGGUACGGCGAUUGCGUAUAAGUCGAGGGUGGAUGAUAAGAUAUAUAAGUCGGCAGAGGGAGAGGGAAAAUUUACUUAGAAAUCGAGCAACAGGAUCUUCCUUCCGAUACUCCUUAGAAUCAUUCGUUCGUCAGCUCUUACCUGCAACAAAACUAAAAACAAGGAAAGAAAGAAUAAUUGAAUUAAUAAAAAAGUAACCAAGUGUUGAAGUAUAACGCAAUUAUGAGCCGCAUCUGUAUAAUUAUCCUUAUUGCAGCUUGUGCUUUGUGGACUUUGGGAGAGACUUUAUC